AUUGAACGCUGGCGGCAGGCCUAACACAUGCAAGUCGAGCGGAUGAAGGGAGCUUGCUCCUGGAUUCAGCGGCGGACGGGUGAGUAAUGCCUAGGAAUCUGCCUGGUAGUGGGGGAUAACGUCCGGAAACGGGCGCUAAUACCGCAUACGUCCUGAGGGAGAAAGUGGGGGAUCUUCGGACCUCACGCUAUCAGAUGAGCCUAGGUCGGAUUAGCUAGUUGGUGGGGUAAAGGCCUACCAAGGCGACGAUCCGUAACUGGUCUGAGAGGAUGAUCAGUCACACUGGAACUGAGACACGGUCCAGACUCCUACGGGAGGCAGCAGAGGGGAAUAUUGGACAAUGGGCGAAAGCCUGAUCCAGCCAUGCCGCGUGUGUGAAGAAGUUCUUCGGAUUGUAAAGCACUUUAAGUUGGGAGGAAGGGCAGUAAGUUAAUACCUUGCUGUUUUGACGUUACCAACAGAAUAAGCACCGGCUAACUUCGUG
rnacentral:rRNA from 1 species